rnacentral:rRNA from 1 species
GUGCACGGCCACAGCACCCUGAGCGCGCCCGAGCUCGUCUGGUCUCGGAAGCUAAGCAGGGUCAGGCCUGGUUAGUACUUGGAUGAAAGGAGAAGGAACAUGAAAAUGCUUUGUAAA